CCGAAGGAAGAUCAGAGAGGAUGUGGCUGCCAUUGAGGAUGCCUCUUGAGGACCAAUGGUGUGACGCACAGCACUGCAAAAGCUAAGAUGCGGAUUAGUGUUUGGAUCUCUUGAGGGAGAUGGAGGAAGGAAGGGGAAUGCCGUAAGAAGGUGUGGAGCCUUGUGGAGAGCAAGUUGCUUGCGUCCGGGAGGAGCAGGGCAAGGUUUUGCAGGAAGUUGUGAAGAGGAGAAGUAGAGUGCUGAGAAGAGCCCGAGCAGGUAUGGUGUGGGCCUUUCCCAAGCGUGGCUGAGGAUUUCAGGUGCCAUGGGCUUCCCCCCAGCCAGGAUGCUGGUGUUUGGAAUUGGCGCAGUUCAGGUGAAGGCAAAUGUGGCAAGCAAAGGAAGAUCGGAGAAGAUGGGUCUGCCAUUGAGGAUGGCUCUUGAGGACCGAUGGUGAUGCAGAGCACCGGAAGAGCUAAGUUGAUGGGCAAAGGGUGUUGGGGUG